CUGACUUCCUGCCCUCACUCUGUGCUGGAGCAGGGCAUUGAUACACAUUACCACAAAAUUCAUUUCACUAAAAUUUAUAGAAAGCAGAGAAAAGAAUAGCAUUUAUUGAGUUCUCAGCAUUUUAAUUUAUAUCAUUAAAUUCAAAAGUUAUAAUAAGUGAGAUAUCUUACUUUAACUAGUGUCAUUUGUAGGAAAGGUCAAUCAGAUACCUUAAGACUGAUUAGGAGAAAGGAGUAAGAAUGCAGUAAGAGGUGUCUUUACAGCAGGGAUAGCACAGAGAGUCUUGGGUUACUACAUAUAAAGAAUUAAUGUUGGUAGCUUCCAACCUAAAUGGCAGACCAUUCCUAAGUAAACUUGUUUUUUCUAUUCAUGGCUAGAUAUAUUUCUACAAGGUACUAUCAUAAAGAGGUUGCUAAAAAUGUCAUUUCAAGACAUCCUAAAACCUUUUGUAAGCUUAUUAUUGUGUUCGGUUUUAUUCAUUUGGCACCUCUUAAAAAAUAAUGAAAUUUUUGGCAUCUCUAUUAUGAUGUUAAAAUGAUGUCAUCUGUGUUAAAAGUCAGCCAUUAUGACAGCUAUAUUUCACAAAUCUGAGAAAAGGGGCAUAUUAAAACUACUUGGUUAUUAUUUUGAAGAACUAGAGGAUUCCUAAGGCAGUCAGCCCAAACAGUAGAUGAUCUACAAAGUGAGAAAAGGAAGAAAAGUCCAUGCUAAUUCAUCAUAUAUUCUACUACACUUCAGCCACAGAAUAAAGAAACCAUGCCAGUUGCUGCUACUGCAGACAGAGAGCGAAGAAAUCCUCUACGAGCCCCAUGGGUUUACAGAAGUCUAUCCAUCACUCUGUCAGUCUUCCGGAUCAUUAUUCAAGUUGCUAUCCCCAAUUUUGCUGGAUAUAUCAGAUCAACUCCAGCUCCAUAGAUGGACAGUGUGUUUUCUUCCUAUUUUUAAAGACCGCAAAGAGGAAAACUGAUGAAUAUUAUAAGGACACACUGGAAAAUGCAUUGUUACUAUGGCAAUAAAAAAGAGAACAAAUGUC
rnacentral:lncRNA from 12 species